rnacentral:rRNA from 1 species
UACGUAGGGUGCGAGCGUUGUCCGGAAUUAUUGGGCGUAAAGGGCUCGUAGGCGGUUUGUCGCGUCGGGAGUGAAAACCAGGUGCUUAACACCUGGCUUGCUUUCGAUACGGGCAGACUAGAGGUAUGCAGGGGAGAACGGAAUUCCUGGUGUAGCGGUGAAAUGCGCAGAUAUCAGGAGGAACACCGGUGGCGAAGGCGGUUCUCUGGGCAUGACCUGACGCUGAGGAGCGAAAGCGUGGGUAGCGAACAGG